CUGAAGUGGAGCUGUAAUGGAUAGAGAGAGGCUAACUGAAGCUGUGGGUCUUCUAAAUAAUAUUUUAGGAAAUGGUGAGCUAUUGUCAACGAUGUCUCGACAAUUAAAUCAAAUCCAACAGAGCUCUAAUUCGGAGAUGCAGAGAUUAUUCAGGGGUGGAACUGCAAAUCCAGUCAGACCUGGCUCCAGGCUAGCACUGCUACUUCUAGCUAGCUCAAUGGAACACGGAGGACCCCGUUACCAGACGAGACAGCAUUUCGGUGGAUCGUCGUCGAAAUCCAGGAAGAGAUUAUCUGGCCAAUGCUGGGUGUCUAAGGCCUUUGAAACGCAUAGAAGACAAAGAUCUCUUGGUGGAGGAUAUCAUCAUGUUUCAGGUGGUUCAUCGAGUCAGUGGAGCACUUCAAAGAUUCGGGGAUGAAGACCCUUGGUGUUCUUGAUGCAAUAAGAAUGCACCCAGAUGCUUUCAGACAGCUGUUUUGUCACGAGCCAUCCCCACUCACAGCUGAUGUUCUUUGAAGUUUGACUGUCAGCAGUGGGCAGCAGCAAAAGAAGGGCAGAGGAAUGUGUGGUUGCAUUUUGUAGGAACUACCUGCUGGAUGUUGAGGAGCAAGAGGGACCCUUGCAACUUGGGGGGGUAUCCUGGCCUUUGCGAUGGGAGCAAAUGAUAUUCCACCCCUGGGCUUCUCCCCACGACCUUCAGUGGUUUUUCUCCAUGAGCUGCCCUUCAGACAAGGCCGUCAUUUACCCACCGCAAACGCAUGCAUUAACUGCCUGCGGUUGCCAUUCCUGAAAUAAUUCGAGGAUUUUAAGGAAACUAUGGAUUUUGCAUUAAAAAACACUCAGAGAUUUGGUCAGGAAUGACUUCCGAGAACUCCUUAACAUACAUUAUUAAAAUCUGUUACCUGUUGAACUUGACAAAAUAAACUGUUUCAUUGAAAAUAAAGUCAUUUUCUGGAACAACAACAUUGAAGUCUCAAAAUGUAAUGGGGGGGGUUCAUUCAUUUCAGCGUUGUCACUCCCAACUAAAAUGUUCUGCAUUGCCUCUGCACUGCUGCGUGCAACCUGGAGCGCGAGCCUGUGUGAAAUGAUAGAAAUUAAGGUCCCGUUGGGUUCGGACAAAGAUCUUCAGCUCUACACCAAAGCUUUCCUGAUUGUCAUCCUCAUCAAACUGCUGGUUGUCAUGAUUGUGAGUUCUGUUAUGUUCCGUUUCCUGUUUUAUUUUGAAGUCAGUCUUGUUUCCCUUGUCUUGUAUAGUUUGCUUCCUGUCUUUGGUUUUGCCUCCCUUGUGAUUGCCCUAAUGUGUUUCACCUGUUUGCCCAGCCUAGUGUCACCUGUCCCUUGUUAGUCCUCGUUACCUGGUUUAUUUAGUCUCUGUGUUGUCUGUGCCUGGUGUCGGAUCAUUUCAUUCUGUUUGCCCUGUUUUCUGUUGCCAUAUUUCCUGUUGGAUGUUGUUCUCUGUGCUGUUGUGGAUUCUGUUUUUUGAUUGUUCCUGCCUGGCUACCUUCCUGAGGACACUUUGUGUAAGACUCUUUUUGUUUAAAUAAAUCACCUCUAACUGCA